GAGGGUAUAGCUCAGUGGUAGAGCGCAUGCUUAGUGUGCAUGAGGUCCUGGGUUCAAUUCCCAGUACCUCCA
rnacentral:tRNA from 1 species